rnacentral:rRNA from 1 species
UACGGAGGGGGCUAGCGUUGUUCGGAAUUACUGGGCGUAAAGCGCACGUAGGCGGCUUUGUAAGUUAGAGGUGAAAGCCCGGGGCUCAGCUCCGGAAUUGCCUUUAAGACUGCAUCGCUAGAAUUGUGGAGAGGUAAGUGGAAUUCCGAGUGUAGAGGUGAAAUUCGUAGAUAUUCGGAAGAACACCAGUGGCGAAGGCGACUUACUGGACACAUAUUGACGCUGAUGUGCGAAAGCGUGGGGAGCAAACAGG